GAAAGAUAGUCAUGCACCAUGGAGGAAGAGAGAAAGGAGCCAGGAUCCACAAGAUAAAUGAAAUGGCCUGAGAGACCAGCUCCUCCUCCCGUCCUUGGGGACUGCAAUGAUGUCAUCCCACCCCCACCUGAGAUGCAGAAUUUGUACUGAGAUUUGCAUUUGAAUGGUGCUAUACAAGCGCACACUGAUUUCCUUUCCUUCUGCCUGACUUCAAGAAGGUAUUUCACAGCAUUGCAUUUCCUUUUCCCCCUUCCCAUUAUAAAUUUUAAUCCAAUAACCAAAUGUUCAGCAGGAUUAUUUGAUUACAAAGAAAUGUAAAAUUAAAGUUAUCACUGUGCUCAUUAA